ensembl:snRNA U6 U6 spliceosomal RNA
CUGCUCCCAUCAGCAGCUCAUGUGCUAAAAGUAAGACUAUGCAGAGAUAAGUAUAGCCCCUGUGCAAGGAUGCCACUUAGAUUCAGGAAGUGAAAUCAAUAUUU